rnacentral:rRNA from 1 species
GACGAACGCUGGCGGCGUGCUUAACACAUGCAAGUCGAGCGGUAAGGCCCUUUCGGGGGUACACGAGCGGCGAACGGGUGAGUAACACGUGGGUGACCUGCCCUCAGCUCUGGGAUAAGCCUGGGAAACUGGGUCUAAUACUGGAUAUGACUCCACGGUGCAUGUCGUGGGGUGGAAAGCCUUGUGCGGCUGAGGAUGGGCCCGCGGCCUAUCAGCUUGUUGGUGGGGUGAUGGCCUACCAAGGCGACGACGGGUAGCCGGCCUGAGAGGGCGACCGGCCACACUGGGCUGAGACACGGCCCAGACUCCUACGGGAGGCAGCAGUGGGGAAUCUUGCGCAAUGGGCGAAAGCCUGACGCAGCGAUG